GAUGAACGCUGGCGGCGUGCUUAACACAUGCAAGUCGAACGGAAAGGCCCAAGCUUGCUUGGGUACUCGAGUGGCGAACGGGUGAGUAACACGUGGGUGAUCUGCCCUGCACUUCGGGAUAAGCCUGGGAAACUGGGUCUAAUACCGGAUAGGACCACAUUUUGGAUGGUGUGGUGGAAAGUUUUUCGGUGUGGGAUGAGCUCGCGGCCUAUCAGCAUGUUGGUGGGGUAAUGGCCUACCAAGGCGUCGACGGGUAGCCGGCCUGAGAGGGUGUACGGCCACAUUGGGACUGAGAUACGGCCCAGACUCCUACGGGAGGCAGCAGUGGGGAAUAUUGCACAAUGGGCGCGAGCCUGAUGCAGCGACGCCGCGUGGGGGAUGACGGCCUUCGGGUUGUAAACUCCUUUCGCUAGGGACGAAGCGUUUUUGUGACGGUACCUGGAGAAGAAGCACCGGCUAACUACGUG
rnacentral:rRNA from 1 species